rnacentral:rRNA from 1 species
UAAAGGGCUCGUAGGCGGUUUGUCGCGUCGGGAGUGAAAACGCCGUGCUUAACACGGCGCUUGCUUUCGAUACGGGCAGACUAGAGGUAUUCAGGGGAGAACGGAAUUCCUGGUGUAGCGGUGAAAUGCGCAGAUAUCAGGAGGAACACCGGUGGCGGAGGCGGUUCUCUGGGAAUGACCUGACGCUGAGGAGCGAAAGUGUGGGGAGCGAACAGGAUUAGAUACCCUGGUAGUCCACACCGUAAACGUUGGGCGCUAGGUGUGGGGUCCAUUCCACGGAUUCCGUGCCGCAGCUAACGCAUUAAGCGCCCCGCCUGGGGAGUACGGCCGCAAGGCUAAAACUCAAAGGAAUUGACGGGGGCCCGCACAAGCGGCGGAGCAUGCGGAUUAAUUCGAUGCAACGCGAAGAACCUUACCUGGGUUUGACAUACACCCUGCCGCUCCAGAGAUGGGGCUUCUUUUGGGGGUGUACAGGUGGUGCAUGGCUGUCGUCAGCUCGUGUCGUGAGAUGUUGGGUUAAGUCCCGCAACGAGCGCAACCCUCGUUCUAUGUUGCCAGCACGUAAUGGUGGGGACUCAUAGGAGACUGCCGGGGUCAACUCGGAGGAAGGUGGGGAUGACGUCAAGUCAUCAUGCCCCUUAUGUCCAGGGCUUCACGCAUGCUACAAUGGCCGGUACAAAGGGCUGCGAUCCCGUAAGGGGGAGCGAAUCCCAAAAAGCCGGUCUCAGUUCGGAUUGGGGUCUGCAACUCGACCCCAUGAAGUCGGAGUCGCUAGUAAUCGCAGAUCAGCA